GCUUCCACCUUAGCGGGGGCCUGCGGGAGUGGGCACGGUGUGGGAGGCCGCCUGCGUGGGGUGGUGUGUCUGUGUGUACACGUGGGUGUGUGCAGGCACAUCUGGCAUCACGGCACUGGGGCUGAUGGGGGCAGCUUGCUGGCAUUCACCAAGGGAGGGCCUGUGGGCACGCAUUGCAGAGAAUGGCUCAUAUGUUAUGAGGUCUCCUCUGUGCUCUGGUGAUCGGAGGAGAUUGCAUAGCGCAGAAGCCCCCUGCCCACGGGAGCCGGCCGCCCAGACACGGACCUCGCAGGCUGUCAGAUCUUGGUGGAGACAGGCAGAAGCAUCCCAUCAGGUGACAGUGAGCGGAACUCAGGCUCUGUGUCCUGGAGCUGCUUCUCGCCAGCUGUGGUCAGUGUAGGGGGAAUGAGGAGGUCUUUUGGGGGCCUGGGGAGGGGGUGCAGCCUGGGGGAUGUUGGUGGACGUGGACGUGGAGGUGGGAGGGAGGAAGUCUCGUGGGGUGGCGGAGGAGGUGGGAGCUGUGUGCGAGAGCAGGUGGAGAGCCUUCAGGGGCAGGACUAGGACACGGCUCAGUUGUAGAGGAGCUUGGGAGUGAGGCUGGCACUCUGGAGGGCACGGUGGGCUGGGCGGUGGCAGGCACCAGGCCAGGAGAGCCUGAUGGAUGUGGUUCCCGCGUGCAGACCCCCAGGAGCACAGCCACGGGCUGCAGGCCCUCAGCACUCAGUCCUCAUCUGGAGCCUUCGCCUGCUUCUCCUUCCCAGAGCACUGAGGCACCAGCGGGGUUGGCACUCCACUUUGGGCUUCCUUUCCUGGAGAGCCGCUUGAGGGUCCCUCCUGUGACUGGGGCCUCCACGGUGGGAGCCGGGGGAUCGCAGAGCCCCUGCCUGGGGGAGCUGGCGGAUGUGAGCCCCAUUUGGGGCUGCCACGUAGGACAUGCAAGGCGGUGCCUGGGGCCCCAGCUCCCUCUCAGUGGUCACUGCCCACCCGGUAACACCCCCCACCAGCUGCAGAGCCCCAGCCAGUGCCAGCCACACUGGGAGGUCGCAGGACAGGCAGCCCCAGGGCUGCGACUUGGUUCUGCAUCUACUGUUAGAAGUGAGCGGGAAUCUGCAGGCCCACCAGGGCCACUGGGUCCCAAGAGAGCAAAGGGCUGCACGUUCCCAAACAGCCGUUGCCCCCCGUGGCCGUGGUAGGUAAUCCAUAUUGGAUGUCAUAAGGACCAGGGGGAUAUUUAAAGAGAGAAACAGAAAAUAUAUAGAGAUAUAAAAUUAUAUUCACAGUUUAUCUACAGAUUUUUCGUAACAAUCUUUGUUUUCCAGUUUGAUACUGUAAAUCUAUCAGCAGAGCUGCGGGCGCGGGCAUGGUGGGAGUUGGGAGCCCCAGGCCGCCUGCCGUCCCCCUCCGUCUUCCCACGGACCACACCAGGCCACUGGGCCCCACAGGACAGGCCACAGCGGGUGGCCGGUUCUGUCCCGUCUUGAGGUUCUUGGGAUCCAUGUCUUGUGGGCCGUAGGCGUCUACCUGCCUGUGGUGCUUUGCCAGAGAGGGGACUCCCCCCCCCCGGCCCCCAGGGUGGACGGAGCCCGUCACCGUCCAGGGCCGGGCCAGGGAAGGAUGGCGUGUUCUGCUUUUCCUUCCAGAUUGUUGAAAUUUCAUUGUCAUGAUUUAAUAUAUGGAUUUUUUUAAUUUAAAAGACGAAGGUCUCUUUGUCGAGUGGGUUUGUUUUCUGUCUCCAUGCCUCCGGCUUCCCAAAGAGAUCCAGGUCUUCGAGUUUCCCAGGCGUGGGGACUCCUGCCCUCGCCUCCACACCGCCUCACCCUGGCCUCUGUGCUACUGGGCAGUUCCAUUUCAAUAUUUAUUUUUGUGUUGCUUUUUAUCAUGAUAUAAAUUAUUGAGAACAGAUCACAUGUGGGCCCGUGUCUGGCCGCCGCCGCCCUGCUCUGUCCCUGCGGCCACCACCUAAUUUAUUGCCGUGCGUCCUGCUGCUGUGACCGCUUUUGUACCUUUGCAAUAAAGAAUUUUCUGGUUUCAGAC